rnacentral:rRNA from 1 species
UACAGAGGUCCCAAGCGUUGUUCGGAUUCAUUGGGCGUAAAGGGUGCGUAGGUGGCGCUGUAAGUCGGGUGUGAAAUUUCGGAGCUUAACUCCGAAACUGCAUUCGAUACUGCGGUGCUUGAGGACUGGAGAGGAGACUGGAAUUCAUGGUGUAGCAGUGAAAUGCGUAGAGAUCAUGAGGAAGACCAGUGGCGAAGGCGGGUCUCUGGACAGUUCCUGACACUGAGGCACGAAGGUCAGGGGAGCAAACGGG